rnacentral:rRNA from 1 species
UGGGGAAUAUUGGGCAAUGGGGGAAACCCUGACCCAGCAACGCCGCGUGAAGGACGAAGGCCUUCGGGUUGUAAACUUCUUUGAUCAGGGACGAAACAAAUGACGGUACCUGAAGAACAAGCCACGGCUAACUACGUGCCAGCAGCCGCGGUAAUACGUAGGUGGCAAGCGUUAUCCGGAUUUACUGGGUGUAAAGGGCGUGUAGGCGGUCUUGCAAGUCGGAAGUGAAAUUCCCGGGCUUAACCCGGGCGCUGCUUCCGAAACUGCGAGACUUGAGUACUGGAGAGGAUAGUGGAAUUCCUAGUGUAGCGGUAAAAUGCGUAGAUAUUAGGAGGAACACCAGUGGCGAAGGCGGCUAUCUGGACAGUAACUGACGCUGAGGCGCGAAAGCGUGGGGAGC